AGCGAACGCUGGCGGCAGGCCUAACACAUGCAAGUCGAACGAGGCCUUCGGGCCUAGUGGCGGACGGGUGAGUAACACGUGGGAACGUGCCCUUUGGUACGGAAUAACUCAGGGAAACUUGAGCUAAUACCGUAUGUGCCCUUCGGGGGAAAGAUUUAUCGCCAUUGGAGCGGCCCGCGUCCGAUUAGCUAGUUGGUGAGGUAAAAGCUCACCAAGGCGACGAUCAGUAGCUGGUCUGAGAGGAUGACCAGCCACAUUGGGACUGAGACACGGCCCAAACUCCUACGGGAGGCAGCAGUGGGGAAUCUUGCGCAAUGGGCGAAAGCCUGACGCAGCCAUGCCGCGUGGAUGAUGAAGGUCUUAGGAUUGUAAAAUCCUUUCACCGGGGACGAUAAUGACGGUACCCGGAGAAGAAGCCCCGGCUAACUUCGUGCCAGCCGCCGCCGUAACAC
rnacentral:rRNA from 1 species